rnacentral:rRNA from 2 species
UCAGAGCGAACGCUGGCGGCAGGCUUAACACAUGCAAGUCGAACGGGCACUUCGGUGCUAGUGGCAGACGGGUGAGUAACACGUGGGAACGUACCUUUCGGUUCGGAAUAAUUCAGGGAAACUUGGACUAAUACCGGAUACGCCCUUCGGGGGAAAGAUUUAUCGCCGAUAGAUCGGCCCGCGUCUGAUUAGCUAGUUGGUGAGGUAAAGGCUCACCAAGGCGACGAUCAGUAGCUGGUCUGAGAGGAUGAUCAGCCACAUUGGGACUGAGACACGGCCCAAACUCCUACGGGAGGCAGCAGUGGGGAAUAUUGGACAAUGGGCGCAAGCCUGAUCCAGCCAUGCCGCGUGAGUGAUGAAGGCCUUAGGGUUGUAAAGCUCUUUUGUCCGGGAAGAUAAUGACUGUACCGGAAGAAUAAGCCCCGGCUAACUUCGUGCCAGCAGCCGCGGUAAUACGAAGGGGGCUAGCGUUGCUCGGAAUCACUGGGCGUAAAGGGCGCGUAGGCGGACUUUUAAGUCGGAGGUGAAAGCCCAGGGCUCAACCCUGGAAUUGCCUUCGAUACUGGGAGUCUUGAGUUCGGAAGAGGUUGGUGGAACUGCGAGUGUAGAGGUGAAAUUCGUAGAUAUUCGCAAGAACACCAGUGGCGAAGGCGGCCAACUGGUCCGAUACUGACGCUGAGGCGCGAAAGCGUGGGGAGCAAACAGGAUUAGAUACCCUGGUAGUCCACGCCGU